rnacentral:lncRNA from 1 species
UAGGUGACUUGUGAUUUAGUAUAUAUAGGAUAGUGGAGGAGUGAGAGUAAAACAGUUGGGAGUGAGAUGAGCUAAUCAAACAUUUGGAUUUUAGUAAAUAUUUUAAGUAUAUAAAAAAUUAAUACGUAAUUUGGUUGUUAAGAUAUAAGAACGUGUUUACCUUUGCCGUUUUCUGUUUUUAUCUUUGUUCUCUUUUUUUUUGUAAUUUUUUUAAAUACUAAAUAGAAAUUAUGUGUUAAAAUAUGAUUGGAUAGGUGACUUGUGAUUUAGUAUAUAGAAGAUGCUUUGCUAUAAGCAAUAACUUUUGGUAAAUAAAGCUUACCUUGUUCUAGGUCGGGAACAAGAAUUUUGUAUUUAAAACAAAAUAAACCAAAUUUGGUAUUUACAUAUUCAAAAGAGUUGCAAGACUUUUUAGUCAUGUGCCCUAAAACAUCGCCUUUGUGAGUAUUACAGAUGUCUACGUGUGCUGUUUGGGUCAGUCUCAAUCUAACGGGUUAAAUAGGUCCCGGACCUAAGCAAAUAUGGCACACACAUUUGAGUUUACACCGCGUAAAUGCUCCACUUUUUGGUAAGGUUGUGUAAAACGGAGAGUGGGUUGUGUAAAACGGAGAGUGGGUCCUCUCUCUCUCUCUCUGAAGAAAAGUAGAUCCAUCUUCGCGUCCGGUGAUCGGCCGGCGCGUGAGCGUGCGUGCCGUCACCGGAGCCUCUAAAGCCACCGUUAAAAGUCCUCGAUCUUCGCUUUGUCGACGUCCCCUCCCUCCUCCGCCUUGCCUGAGCUCUGGAAGAAGAUCAUCCAUGGCGGAUCUGGUUCUGGUGUAAAGGCGCGAUCGUGGCGAGGAAGGCGCGGUGAAGCGCUUUCUGCGGCUUUUUGGUUUUGUCUCCGGGAGGCGGAGGCUCCGUCAGCUCCGUCG